rnacentral:rRNA from 1 species
GACGAACCGAGCGAACGUUGUUCGGAAUCACUGGGCUUAAAGGGCGCGUAGGCGGGUUCGCAAGUCUGUGGUGAAAUCCUCCGGCUCAACCGGAGAACUGCCUCGGAUACUGCGGGUCUCGAGGGUGAUAGGGGUAUGCGGAACUAUCGGUGGAGCGGUGAAAUGCGUUGAUAUCGAUAGGAGCUCCGGUGGCGAAGGCGGCAUACUGGAUCACUUCUGACGCUGAGGCGCGAAAGCCAGGGGAGCAAACGGG